UGAUUUAAUUAGAAGCGAUGACGAAGAGACACUACUCACAUUAAAAAUAAAAUGGAGUUGAAUUGAUAAGCAGAAGAAUGCAAGAGGGUGUAAAUACCUCAAAACGAUAAAAAGAGUGGAAAAAUCGAGGAUCAGAGGACCAGUCAACUAAGCAACAUCCUGUCGAAAUUCGGAACGCGUGUGUGCAAUAGAAGAAUAUGCUUUUAAAGACAGUGAUAUUUUCCCUCGUGAUUUCGUUCUGUUGUAUAUAUGGAUGGUAUAUCCCAGGUAUUUGGCGGCCUCAGUCCGAGUAUAGGAACGUUAUUUCUCAGCAGGUAGACGAAGAAGACGCGGGUUCCUACACCACGGUCUCCAGUCAGCUGUCAGACAUAAUGUGUGGGUAUUGUCUCCAGUACACGGAGGAACGAUGCUCAAGGUUCUGUCAGUGAAGAAUCAAAUUACCCAACACUACUAUUGUACAGAUGUUGUAAUAAACUCUUACAAUGACAA